rnacentral:rRNA from 1 species
CCUACGGGUGGCAGCAGUGAGGAAUAUUGGUCAAUGGGCGGGAGCCUGAACCAGCCAAGCCGCGUGAGGGAAGAAGGUACAGCGUAUCGUAAACCUCUUUUGUCAGGGAACAAAGGCGGGGACUAGUCCCCUGAUGAGGGUACCUGAAGAAAAAGCAUCGGCCAACUCCGUGCCAGGAGCCGCGGUAAUACGGAGGGUGCGAGCGUUAUCCGGAUUUAUGGGGUUAAAAGGGUGCGCAGGGGGCCUGUUAAGUCAGUGGUAAAAGCCCGGGGCUCAACCCCGGCGGGCCGUUGAAACUGGCGGGCUGGAGUUGGAGAGAGGUACGCGGAAUGCGCGGUGUAGCGGUGAAAUGCUUAGAUAUCGCGCAGAACCCCGAUUGCGAAGGCAGCGUACCGGCUCCACACUGACGCUGAGGCACGAAAGCGUGGGUAUCGAACAGGAUUAGAUACCCCAGUAGUC